UCAUUACGACAUCUUAGACUAUUCGAAUAGCAAGAAAAAUAAGUGGUCCUCGUUUUGAGUCACUCAUGAUCACUUAUAUUCUUUAUAGCAUUUAUUGGCUUACUUAAUUUUCUUUACAUGUUAAACUUGCUUAUGUGAUUUGAAUGUGUUCUUGUUCUUGAAUUCACAAUAGCUAAGCAAUGACUUAUACUCCAUGACUAAAAGGAAUGAAGUUUUCUACAAAGAGCUUCAUACCAAUAAGAUGGAAGCAGCG
rnacentral:lncRNA from 1 species